rnacentral:lncRNA from 1 species
AUGGAGAAACCAGUAGAUCUUUCCUGCAGCACUCUGAAUAACUUGGCUAGCUUUAUCCAAGAAAGACAGGAACUCUUCCUGCUGAGCUGUUCUUUUAUGAGUGCUGUGCCUCUUACCUUGCAGCAAGAGACCUCGGGGUACGCUGUCUGUGGGGUACAGGACACAGGCAAGCCUGCUGCCCCUGCAGAAGGUCCACAAAGUUCCACUCUAAGCAAGUGCUGCUCCUGCUUGGGAGAUGGACUCCCAUUUUGCUGCUCAUGGGUGUUUCUUUGGUGGCAAAGACUCUUGGAAAGGGUCAUCUUUCUUUGGCAAGAUUUGAAGAGCUGUCUGCAAAGCCAAACACUGAAAACUAAACUUUCAAAAGAAAACAUCUCAAUGGAAGACAUGACAGUAUUGACAGUUGGUCAAAAACAGUUGGAGAGCUGCCAGCAUCAUAUACCCUCCCUAAGAUAAAAUCCAAAGAUGAAGUCUGUUUAAUGUGAUUUCAGGAAUUUAAGUCAGAUCGCUCUGAGACGUCAUUCUGAGGUGAUCCUAAUGAAUCGUUAUCCUAACAAUUUCUCCUGCUCAAAGCAUUAGGCUAUGGGGAAAGGAGAUCAUAUCUGUUGAAACUGUAAGUGCAAGAAAGAACAUAGCUCUGCAACCUGGUGUACAGGGGCAUAAACGGAUAAAAGAGAUCUUGGCUUCCUGCCCCCACUGCCUAAAUUUAGCCUGUAAGGACUGGUUUGAGAAAGUGCCAUCCUUAUUUCAUUUUUUUAAAGAAAGAAUUUCUUAUCCUACUUUCAGGGGCAGAUUUGUGAGACCAUCUUAAAUAGGUAGAAUCACUUUGCUGAAGCAUUUAGCAGGGAGCAAAGUGCACUAGAGGAGACAGGAUUUAGAACACAUCAUCCUUCUCAUUGUCCAGCACCAGGCUGUGCCUAACUUUCUCAUACAAAAGAACUUAGAUUGUCUCUAAAUCCACCUGGUACUCCAGAUUAGGCGGUUAAGGUACAUCAGGGUCCACAGGUAGAAGCACACCAGGAAGCAACACGUUUAGCAUUGCAUUGGCCGCUGUGUUGAGUGACCAGUUGUGCUCACUGGGGACUAUGUGAAGCCAGGGAAGCCUUGAACUUCCAGACCUGAAGGUGUGGAGAGAUGUUUGCUGCAGCCUGCGGUGAUUUGGGGUAUUGAUCUGAAUUCUGUCCCUGGGAUCAGGAACAUAAGUAGGUUGCAUUAGGGUAACAUGGUGGGUCAUAAGUCCCUCUAAUGCUGUGAUCACUGGUUUCUGUUCUUCAUGAGGUUUGAAAAUGUUCAACUAAAUGUACAUGUAAGAAAUUGGCAAUAAAAAUUGAUAAAUGAGUUGUUUGAUAAAAACA